UAUUUGCUAGAAAUCUAUUUUAAGCAUCCAUUUUGAGUUGUUGAGAAGUAUCCAAUAGCUUUACUCAAAAUCUCUCAAUCCACUGAAUGGAUAUAUAAAAUAUAUAAUGUUAGAAGGAACAUCAACGUUCAUUCUGCAUCUUUUAAGCGACAAAUAAUCAAAUAGAUUAUCUGCAUAAAUGAACAUCUUUUAUCAGCAACAGUUAAAGCAAACAUCAUACACCUACUUUUAUAAAAUCACUCAAACAUUCAAGAGUAGAGAAAAGAAUAAAAACCCAAACAAUGAGAAGAAUUCACAUAAAAUCAAACAAUAAGAUAAAUAAGAAACUCAAUAAACUAUCAAGUGAAGCAAUGAUUGAGAGUCUAGCUAAUAUAUCCAUUAGAACAAACAAAAUAUAUAGAAAAAGCAAAAACAUGGAUUUGCGAAUGAGCUUUUCCCUUUGCCAUUCAAAGGCAAUGAUGAGUCUGGCUGAUAAGAGCAUGCAAUGUGAAGAGAAUGGUGAUGUGAGCAUGGCAAUACGUAUCAGCACUCUCGUAUAACAUAUGUACGUUCAGCACUCGUAUAAAACCCUAACUGGUUCUUAUCUCUGUUUGUAUAAUUUUUUUUUUUUUUUUUGGGAAAACAUACUUGUAGAAGUUUUCCAACAUUUUCCCGGUGAUGGGAAAAUGCCUCCUUUUUCAGGGAGAAAUUUGAGAAGGAAAGCAUAGUUAUCAUUUAUAAACUUUCUUUAUUAUACCAUGCUUUUUGAUAUUUUAUACGUGUAUAUCUGAGCAGGAGAAGGCUUUACACCUAUAGAGUUGAACGGGUAAUGGAAUUCGACGCGGCUUACAGAUACUCUUUCGCUUGCUUUGCCCAAGUGGGCUCGCUGCUUUGCGAUGUAAUGAUAGGCACUAUACAAGUGGGUAUGCUAAAAUUUGGGCUUUCUUACUUCAGCUCACAACCAUUGGUCCUGGAAUUUCGCCAUAUAGCUGUACAGAAUGGAUUUUGUAUAUCUGAAUCGAAUUGGAAAUUGAAUUCAACAACCAGUUAGAUGAUUAGAUAAGUACAUAGAAAAGAGGCCCAAUAUUCGUCAAUCAUUGAGAUAGAGAAAGAAAAUGGGAAUAAUGAACAAGAGAGAGUAUUGUUUUAAAGGGUAGGAAUUCUCGAAAAGAUUUUGGAAGCUGAGUGGAAAACCAGAAGAAAAAGGUUGGAAGAUGCUUCAGGAAAAUGGGUCGGUGGCUGCCUUUGCUUCCUAUUUUCUUCUCAUUCACUCAUCCGCAUCCUUGCUCCCCAGAUGUUCUGCUUUUUUUUGUUUUAAAUCUAAACGAGAUUUUGUCUCCUAAUUAUUAAUUUAUUUUCCUUACAAUAAUCAUGUGAAUUAUCUUACAAUUUACUUUUUCUUUAAUAAAAUGGUGAUGGGAUUUUCAUUACAUGUGGAAAGUAGAA
rnacentral:lncRNA from 1 species